rnacentral:snRNA from 1 species
CCGGGCUUCGGUCAAGGGGAUACGAGUAGCUGCGCUCCCCUGCUAGAACCUCCAAACAAGCUCUCAAGGUCCAUAAUUUGUUCUCUAAAGUAAUUUAAACAUUAACUUUAUAAAUAUUGUUUAUAUUAUAAUUUGAUUAAUAAUG